rnacentral:tRNA from 1 species
GCGGCCGUAGUCUAGCCUGGUAGGAUGCCGGCCUUCCAAGCCGGAGGUCCCGGGUUCGAAUCCCGGCGGCCGCA